AUGAUGAGACUUCCAUAUAUACAUUUCUCCUUGGAAAGCUGAACAAAUGCAGUGGAGUGAAAACUCUAUAUCGUCAUCCUCGUCGAACUGAGGUCCAGCACAUUACUCCAACAGGGACUAGACAGAGAGGGCCAACAUCCGUUUGUUGACAAGGGUUAUACCAAGGGGUCUGUUUAGCCUUAACAUGGGGUCUUUUAUGGUUGAAUACACACAGGAGAGUGGUGGCUCCCACGCACAGGAAAUUUCUUGUUUGAAGGACUCUGUCAGUGAGGGUGGGUAACACAUGUAUUGUCUGUAGGACUAAGUGAAUGUCCAUGUGGCCUAGCAAGAGUUAGCUGGCAGCCCACCUCUGGUUGCCAAUUUGUUCUUGAGUCCUUGUUCUGAGUUCUCAGGUCCCCUGAAAGAAGACAGUCUGUCUGGUUGGGAGGAGAAUACAAGGCCACAUCUUUGUCAUUUGUUGGCUAACUUUGUCCUUGAUUGAGGACAUUAGAGUUUUGGUCACCGGGCAUAGCCUCUUUGCCCAUGUUGUAUCCUGUGUCUUUGGGGGACAUGUACAUUGCAUGAACAAGUGAGCUCCCGCUCAUUGGUUCUGAUACUCGAGGAGCCUCUGGCUUAUCUUAAACCCAAUAUAGAUAUAGGUGAAAGCCUUUCUCAUUAAAGGUCGAGGGCCCCAAGGCUUUGUGAGCAUCAUUGUAGGUAUUGAAGCAACAAUAUUGAGAAGGAUGCUAAACAUGCUCUUUAGUGGGAUGAUGUACUCUGAAGGCACCUGACCCCCAGACGAGCAUCCCUGUGUCCAUGCUUUUCUGUGUUUAUGAACAGGUGAGGCCAGAGACAGGCGGACAGCAAAUGUAUCGCAACGGGCUGGAUGACAUGGCCCUUGGAACCUGUGCACAUGCCUGCCUUUCUGAUGCACGUCCGUGUUUUCUCUGCACCUCCCCAGUGGUGUUCGUGUAAAAAGCAGGCUCAUGUUAGCAAGGAAUGAUUGUCAUCUCAUGUGAUCCUGCGAGAUGGCAGAAGUCCGGGGCCACAUGGAGUGUGGGCUCCUUCGGAGGCUGAUGGAACCCUCCUGAAUGAGUUGUGGCAAUGGAAGUAAGGCCAGUGGCUACGAGGGACAGUCUUCAUCUUGGAAGAUCCAUCGAGAUGGCAGGGAGCCCCUUGACAUGUGGAAUGUGGUCUCCUUUGGUGCUGGUGGAUCCCACAGGUGGUCUGGCAUGGAAGAAGACCACAGGCUACGAUGGAUGAUCUUUGUCUUGGGGGAUUCCUGGAGAUGGUGGGGAGCCCCUGAGCACGUGCGGCACAUGUGGCGUGGGCUUCUUCAGAAGCUGGUGGACCCCUCAGGAUGCUCGUCAAGGUUUUUCUGUGAGUUCUGUUAAAGAGUCGGAAAAUGGAGCCUAGAAGACAUGCUUCAGUUUCCAGGAUGGUUGUGUUUUCCAGAGAGGCGUAGGUAAACCAUUGGCGCAGCCCUGCCUCCCACAGAUAAUUCCGUGUGCAGUGUUUCAUAUCUAGACUUGGACUUCUGUCCUACCAUACUUCUUUGUGUGCAGUUCAUUGUGGAACCAGCACAGAUUUCCAUAUGAAAGUUAUUUUUUUAACCUCAAAAAGUGACAGAAUGGAGUGUAUCAUGGAAAAAUCUGACAUCAAAACCUCAAAAUGUGAUAUUGGUGACAGCUGUGUGCUCAGUGUCUGCCACAUGUCUCGGGCUCAAGGUCCCUUUUAUAAGUGUGCCUGGAUCGAUGAUGACUUAAAAAUGGAUCUCAUCGGAAUCUGAACAAAAUGAGUGACCAAAUCACUUCUGUGCCACUUCUGUGAGCUGAGGUCCAGCGCAGGGACCGUGCCAGACAAACACGAGGAGGGCCUUCAGUUUGGUCAGAACAGAUUGGGUGAGAUAGAAUUCCAUGGAAUUUCAUUGCCAAACCAGUGAAGUGCUAAUUUUGACAUUUGUACCAGCUGACGUAGCUGUGAAGAAGCACACCAAUGCCACUUCUAAGGACAGCAUAGACCAAGAACUGGGUUUCAUAUGGAUGAAUUUAUUCUUCCUUUGAGGCAAGACAAGAAGGAAAGAAAGUAUUGGGACUAAUGCCAUCCUCAAGGGUCAGUGGGAACUCUAAUAUUGAUUGGGUGAGAUACAAUUCCAUGGAAUUUUACCACUGAACCAGUGAAGGGCUAAUUUUGUCAUUUGUACCAGUUAACUAAUUUGGGAGGAAACAGAACAACACACUCCUGAGGGUAAAAUGGAAACUCUGAGAGUUUGGUUGGCGGCAUCUGUAUACCAUAGAAACAGAGCCUGGGAAGCAGAACAGUGAGACCCAAGAGAAAUGUUCCUGCCUCUACUUGGUCUGUUCCCACAUUUGCCUGAACUACUGAUUGACCUUUUGAGGGUGAUGAUAUGAUUGGUUGUCACAGAAUUCCGUGGACUUUAACCAGUGAUGCGCUGAUUUUGUCAUUUGUACCAGCUAACUCAUCUGGGAGGCAACAAAACAAUAUUCUCCUGAGAAUGAAGUGGACCAAGAACUGGGCUUCAUACGGAUGAAUUUAUUUUUUUCUCCAUGUGGAGACGUGAAGGAAAAGUAUAGGAAAUAAUUCUGCCUCCCACCCACAAGUCCCCAUGGGAAUUUCUCACAUGUUAAAAAGCAUUUUGUCCUGAAAAUAACAACAUUUUUUCUUAGGGAAUCAGGACACUCCAAUGACGGUGAGACUCUGGCUAUGCCAGUCAGCCAUGGGCUGGUCAUUGACUGUGAUGCUGGUCUCCAUGAUUGAAUAGUGUGGGUCAUUGGUGACAGAUAGCUGUGUGCUCAGUGUCUGCCACAUAUCUCAGGUUCAAAGUCCCUUUUAUAAAUGUGACUGGAUCAUGAUGACUUAAAAAUGGAUCUUGGAAUCUGAGCAAAACGAGUGACCAAACCACUUCUGUGCCAGUUCUGUGAACUGAGGUCCAGCACAGGGACCAUGCCAGGCAAACACGUGGAGAGAGUUCAGUUUGGUCAGCAGCUGGUACCAAAAUGGACCGUGGUAUUGGAAAACAAACCCACUCACAUAGGUUACAGCACAUGAAUUGUACAGAGGUUAAUGUGGACGAAGAACUAGAUUUCAUGUAAAAGAGUUUAUUCUUUCUACUUGAGGUGUGACUUGAAGGAAAGUAAUGGAAAUAAUUCUGCCCUCCCAUUCUCAAGGGCCGGGGGAGUUCUAAUAUUGAACGGAAGUGAUUUUGGAAUUGCAUGGAAUUCUCAGUGCCAUCCCAAAGAAAUGCUGAUCAUGUCACUCUUACUUGUUCCAUUGCCUGGGGCAGAACAAAAGGAUGUACUUCAAAGAUCGACAUGAACCAAGAACUGGGUUUCAUAUGAAAUAUUUUAUUCUGUCCUCUUGAGAUGUGACAUGAAGAAAAGUGUUGAGAAUAUUUCUAUCACCUCAUCUUCAAGAAUCAGUAGGAAUUCUCCCAUGGUUCCAUGUGAUACUAGAGUUGCGUGGAUUUUUAAUCUUUACACCAAUGAAGAUCAGAGGCUAACAGUGCCCUUUUUUUAGAAGUUUGCAUUUGUCACUGAUAACUGUAGUAACUGAUCUUGUUGAAAAGCGUGAGAAAUGAAGAUCUGAUAUGUCACUUUUACCAGCUUCCUCAACUGAGAAAGAAUACAACGAAACAUGCUGAGAAUUUUUGUGCUUUCUCAGUCUUGCUGCUGAUCUUUCUGUGGGCAUGAAGCAUGGAGAGUGCCAGAGAGGCUGAUCCUCAACAGUGUGACAGUGGAAAGUUGGGUGUGACCAAGAGGUCGACAAAGACAAGGCACCUAGCCUCACAUGAAACUUUAUUGCUUUCCCUUGAGAUGUGACAUGACAGAAAAUGUCAGAAAUGAUUUUUCCAUCCCAUCCUCAGGGACCAGUGGGAAUUAAUUUUACCACUACACCUUCAAGGGCCAGAUCGGAAGUGAUAUUGGUGAAAGACAACACUUUGCCGCUUGGAAUUCUCACCUCCACACCAAAGGAGGACUGUUUUUGUCAUUUGCACCGGCUUCUUUCUCCAGGAAAGAUCAAAACGAUGCACUCCAAGGGUCCACGUAGACCAAAAUGUGGAUGUCAUAUGAAAGAGUUUAAACAUUCCCCUUGAAAUACAAGAGAAAGUAUCAGAAAUAAUUACACCAUUCCAUGCUCACAGACCAGUGGGAAUUCUCACAGUAAGCAUUUUGUCCAGGAAAUACUGUAUUAUUCUUAGGGAAUUAUAACAUUCUAAUGGUAAUGGUAGUCAGCCAUGUGGCUGGAUCAUUGUUCCUGUAUCCUGGUCCCUAUGACUUAGUGUGGUCAUGGUGUCAUUGUGUCCAAGACAGACAGAAUCGUUAGUGUGUAGUGUUGUCUGCUAUCUCAGGCUCACAGUCCCUUUUAUAAACAUGGCUGGACUGAUGAUGACUUCAAAAUCUUUUGGAAAUCUGGACUAUCUGAGCAGUAGAAUUGCUUCUCUGAAAUUGAUUUCAAGUCAUAUAAAAGGCCAUGUUAUACAUAUAUUGUUAAUCUGAGGGAGGUUGUGAUCAUUUAAGUUGUAUUUUAUAAGCACUAGGACCACCAGUAAGAAAACAAUUCAAAAAAUAUUAAAAGAACAACCAAAGAAUUAAAAUAGGAUAACGAAAAGAUCUGUUUAACACAAAAUAAGGCAGUUAACAAUGAACAGCGGAACUAAUAAGACAUAAGACAUGUAGAAAACAGGAAAAUGACAGACAUAAAACCAGCCAUAUGACAAUUAUAUGAAAUUUUUAAAAGAGAUUAGGAGAUUCUGUUGUUUUUUGAACAUGAACAACUAUACAUUGUCUACAAAAGAGACACUUUAGAACAAAAGAUACAAAUAGUUUGAAAGGAAAAGAUGGAAAAAGCUAUAUCCAGUGAAUCCAGAAGAGAGCAGAAGUGGCUAUUCUGACAUCAGAAUAAAGAGACUUAAAGUAUUGCUAGAGAGGAAGAAGGAUAGUAUUUAAUGUAGAAGGGUUAAUUAAUAAGGAAUAUGUAACAAUUAUCAUAUCAGCACUAACAACACUGCCCAAAGUUACAUACACUGAAAACUCACAUGAUUGAGGGGAUCAAUAGGUGGUUCAACAAUAAUAACUUUUGUUCAUAGCCUCUUCUUAAUCACUGAUAAGUCAAUUAGGUAGAGCAUCAUUGAGGUUACAAGAUACUUCAGCAAUGUUAUCAACCAGUUUGACCUGAGAUAGAUAGAUAGAUGAUUGAUAGAUAGAUAGAUAGAUAGAUAGAUAGAUAGAUAGAUAGAUAGAGAAAACUCCACCCAACAACAGAAAUACAAAUUAUUUUCAAGCAUACCUGGAACAUUCGCCAGGGUAGAGUAUGUGUUAGGCUAUAAAACUGUACUCAAUAAAUUUAAGAUUGAAACCAUGUAGAGGAUGUUGUGUCACCAUAGAGGAAUUAAAUUAGAAGUCAACACAAAUACAUUUGGAGGUCACAAAAUAUUUGGAAAUUAACACACUUUACAGAGCCCAUUGGUCAAAAAUCUGUAAAAAGAAACUAGAAAGUCCAGGGGUGGUGGCUCACACCUGUAAUUCCAGCACUUUGGGAGGCCUCGGUGGGCACAUCACUUGAGGCCAGGAGUUCAAGACCAACCUGGGCAAUAUGGCAAAACCACCCCAUCUCUACAAGAAAUACAAAAAAAUGAGUUGAGCAUGGUGGUGCAUGCCUGUAGUACCAGCUACUCGGGAGGCUGAGGUAGGAGAAUCACUCGAGACCAGCAGGUAGGAGCUGCAUUGAACCAAGAUUGUGCCACUGCACUCCAGUCUGGGUGACAAAAUGAGACCCUGUCUAAAAAAUAAAAAUAAAAAAUAAAAAGAAUCUAGAAAACAUCUUGCAUAGAAUGUGAUACAACUAAAGACAUGCUUAGAGGGAUAUUUAUAGUUUUAAAUAACUGUAUCAGGAAAAAAAGGGAAAAUAAAUAAAUGAUAUAAGCUUCCACCUUAAACAAGAAAAAGACUAAACUAGAAGAUGAAAUUCAAAGCAAACAGAAGGAAGUAAGCAAUAGGGAUUUGAGCAAAAAUUGAUGACAUAAAAAAGACAAAAUACAGAGAAAAAUUCGUGAAACCAAAAGUUGAGUUUGUGCAGAGAUUUGUGAAAUUGACAGUCCUUUAGCUUGACUGACACAGAUCAUUAGAAUUAGGAAUGAUGGAGAGGAUAUCACUACUGACCCUAUAGAUUGGAUCAGGAAUGUUGCUGUUUGCUGUAUUGUACUUUCUUGAGGGGAGAGCUAUGAAGGAAAACAAAAUUCUCAUUGCACUUACAACUCAACAACACAGCGUUGACAUUUUGAUUCUCAUUGGCUUCAUUGCUCAUAUCUGUGAGGUUUCCAGAAGAUCCCAUAGCAAUAUCAUUCAUUCCAAAUUUAUCUGUGGGCUACUCUGGGAACACUGUCUGUGGGUUAGCCCUGCUCUGCAAGGAGCAGUAAAAAUAAAAACAUAUAUAUAUAUUUUUUGAUACUUAGUCUUGCUCUAUCGCUCAGACUGGAGUGCAGUGGCGCGAUGUUGGCUCACUGCAACCUCUGCCUCCAGGGUUCAAGUGAUUCUCCUGCCUCAGCCUCCCGAGUAACUGGGAUUGCAGGCACGUGCCACCACACACUACUAAUUUUUGUGUUUUUUUAGAGACAGGGUUUCACCACGUGGGCCAGGCUGGUCUCAAACUCCUGACCUCAGGUUAUCUGCCCUUGGCCUCCCAAAGUGCUGGGAUUACUGGCAUGAGCCACUGUUCCUGGCAACUGUUUGUAGCCAGUGGGGAAUUGUUUUAAUUUUGGGAAGCCUCUUGUAAUCAAAUCAUGUGUCAACAUUAAUCACAUGGUUAAGUGCUCCAUGGUUUUCAUUCCUAAAGAUUCUAGGAUGUUUGACAUUUCUCUGCUUAGCUUGUAGCAGAAAGGUAUUGGGUAUCAAGAAUGUUUGAACAGUUUCUCCUUUUUGGGAAUGAAGAUGAUAUUGGGCUAGAAUUGAGAUGUAUGAUUGAGAGAAUGUCUCUGAGGCCUGAGCAGUGUGCCCUUUUGGGUAUGGACAUUGGAAGAAUGUAGUGAAUUCUUAUAAUUUUAUGUUGCCUUGGCAUCCAUCUUGAAUGUGAGUUUAACUUUCUUAUAUUAGAAGCAAGGCUUACUCACCUUUGCAUAGUUUCCAGUUCUACACCUCCUCGUUCCUCAGUGUGGUUGGUCCAGAUAGCUGCCUUAUCCAACUGCCUCCUUUGGACCACUUCACCAUGGGACAGCUUGGUGCAAUCUACCUGACAAGCCGCUUGAACCCCACACCCCUUAUGGAGCCAGUGUCCACCUCCCAGUCACAGUGUGACCCCAGGGAACUCAUGCCUGCUUGCUUUAGACCCACCGCUUAGAAGUCUCCAUAGCAAACCUGUUUGAAUAGUCCCCUUGACCCAGUAGGGGCAUUGGCCCAUGUGUGUCUCUCUCUCUCUCUCCGUCUCUCUCACUCCCUGACCUCUGCGUGUGGACUCCCAGGCAUGCCAUGUACCCCUCAGGACCUGUAAGUAAUACUGUCUUUAUUUUUAUCUUAUCUCUUCUAAUCAUUGAAAGGGCGCUCUCUAUCUUGAAGAUACUAUAUUAAAUAAAAUGAGAACUUGACCCUAACACAGUUAGUGACAGGCUGAAACACGCUGAUUGCACUCUUUAUCUAUUUAGUGAUUUUUCUCAAGUUACUGCACACCAUGUAUUAUCAACAUAAUUGAUAUAGAGUGGAAUUAUAAAACACUUUUGCCACAGAAAGUUCUGUUGGACACAGAUUAUCUAGAGCUACUACGUGUAUGCUAUUUUGUGAUAAAAGAUGUAGAUGUGAUAAAAGCAUUUAUAAAAUAUAAAAACAUUUAUAAAAUAUCUGUCUUAGAAAUGUUAGCUAAAAUUAGUUUGGGAAAAGUAUGUUUGAAAAUAGAAUUGUAAGCUACCACAUUUUGAUAAAUAUUUCUAAAUUUGUUUAUUAACUUAUCAGGAGACAACAGAGUGAAGUAAAGAAAACAGUAGCUUUGUAUCAGUAUGUUUUUAUUCGGAAGACAAAUGCGUGUUUUAACUAUUGUAUGUUUUUGGCUUAACUUUUUUUGUAAAGUUAAAACUUUACACUUUUACAUGAAUCUGUAAUUUCAAGAUGUCUUAAUGGUUGACAGGGACAGGACAAUUGAAAACCUGUAAAUAUAUUUGGUAAAAUUUAUGAUGCAUUGUUUUGCAGAUGGCUUCAGAGAGUAUUAGCACAUCUGUUUGAGAUGUGCACAGUUUUACAUUUGUCCCUUAGGUCAUCAACAAGGCUGAGGAAGCAAGAGAAUGAAUUAAAGAAAACUCCAGAGAAUGAGCUGACAACUUACUCCCUGGUCAGUGGCUCUCCAUGCCUACCUGUGGUUUCUUGGACACCCUUGCAGAAGAUGACUUCCUGGGAACUCUUCUGAGAGUGAAUGUUAUCAGCAAAUUCCCAAAACAACACCCCUUAGACAAAAAGCCUCCUCACCUAUGCAUUGCCUAGGCCACCCACUAAAGGUGAUGGCCACAAAGAGGUGGAUUUGUUGAGUUGGUGCCAUUCCUUCUACUGCCAGCUUCACCAAAACAAUGAUUCAGUCUUCCUUAUGCAUGGGGACUCUUCUCUUUCCUGUGUUGCAGUGGAUACCUCCUGCAGAUAAGAAAUGCUUAACUGAGAAAUGCUCAUGUUGGGAUAUCAUCGAUGAGACUUUAAUUGGGGCAUGGUGACUGUUUCCCUUGCUGCCACUUGACUCAAUCCCAGGAGCCUCAGUAGAGGAUAAAAUAUUACACAAGAUGCUCAAAAUGGUGGAAUUGCUCAGUGCUCCCAUAAAUAUACAUUUAUAAUUUUCAUUUGCCACAUGGUAAACUGAAAAAUACAGAAUAUAUUAAAAAGAAACUCUGCAUGAUUUUUUUCAAAAAUUCAAAGCAUAUUUAAAUAAUAUAUAAAUUAAAUGCCCUCCUGUCUUCCAAUUCUGUCCCUAUAGUUUUCCUCUAUUAAGUGAACUACAUGCAUUCUUUUAGUGGAUAGAUGCACACAAAUACACAAGCUAUUUUGGGGAAGGAUCCAGGAGUGUGGCCAUAUUGUAACACAUUUUUCUGCAAAUUACCUCUUUCAUUUAACAGCCCUCAUUCAAUGGCCUUUUUCUUUUUCAGUAAUACAUACACAUCUGUGUCAUUUGUUGAAUGACGACAUGCAUGUUUUGUAGAUGAAAUAUAAUUAAAUGUUUUAAGCAUUUCUCACUCAUAGAUAUUUAUGUUAGCACCAAAUUUCUGUGCAAUGAACCUCCCUAUAUAUCAAUAAUUUUGCAUUUGUCUAUAAUAUCAUAAUAAAUUACUUAUCAGUUGAAUUACUGGGAUUAAGUAUGUGCACACUUCAUAUUUUGAAAAUUAUUGCAAGCUUGCCUUCAAAAAUGUGGUUAACAACUUUAUCCUCCAAUGGCAAUGAAUGAGAUUGCCAGCUUUCCUACAACCUCACAGACAAUGGAUUUUAUAAAUAUUUAAAAUUUUUGCCAAUGUGAUCACCCAAACUAUUGUCUUAAAUUGUAUUUCUUUUGUUUUUGAGUUUGGUCAUUUUUUCAUGUUUGUUAGCCAUCUGUAUUUUUUAAUUUCUUCUUUAUGUCCAAUUUUGUGGGUGGGAGGAGGAUUUAGUCUCUUCCUGAUUUCGAAGAGCUCAUUUACUAUUUUGGGAAAUAAGAUCUGGAUUGUCAACCAUUACAGCUAUUUUUUACACACUUUUUAACUUUGUUUUUGUUAUAAGAAUGUGUAUGAUUGUUAUAUGUCCAAGUAUAACCAUGUUCGCUUUUAUGGCUUCUGAGUUUCAUGUCAUUUUUGGAAAGAUAUAUAUACUGAGUCCAUAAAACUCUUCACCUAUGUUAAAUUCUAAUUCUUUUGUGUUUUUUUAAUUCAAAUUCUUAAAUCAUGAGAAAUUUUUUUGUUUUGAAAUCUUAAAGUUGCCAAGUUACUUGCCAUUACUUGCGAUUAUUUGCCAAUAAUUGCCCAUUUAUCUGUACUGCCAUCUUGCGCAUAUGCUGUACUCUCAUCUGUGACUGGCUCCAUUUUUGUUCUGUGGAUUUGUGUGUCUCUUCUUCUGCCUCCUGUCUCAUGUGUCUUCUUGUUGGAAGAAAUUACAGUUUAGACUGCAAUUUCAUCAACUUUAAUAAAUCAAUUGAGGGGAGAAUGGUUUUUAAAAAUAUUAAGUUAAGUCUUCAUAUCCAAGGACAAGGUAUGUCUUUUCGUAUUCAAUAAUUUUAAUUACUGUUAAUAUUUUCACUUUGGUGAUGGGAGUUUUUCUUUUAAUUUGCUUUCUUGUUCAUUUUUUGUAUCUGAAGUUUUUGUUUUGUUUUGUUUUGUUUUGGGGGUAAGUGGUCACCUUACUGUUUCUUGUUGCUUUUCAGAUUUUUUCAAAGUAUAGACUAAAUCCUUUGCAAAUAUUUAAAGUUUUUAUUUCCCCCCUUCAUAUUGAUCCUGAUUUUAGUUAUGUUGACAAAGUCCACAGACUGUUACUAUCAGAACACUUGAACAGUUAUGGAAAUAUUACCCACCCUUGAUUUAAUCAGGGUUUAAUGGUAUGCUUCUUUGGUUUGACUGGCACAUUGUUGCUGGUCAUUUUCUCCCAAAGACCACCAGAAAGAGCUAUGAUCAAGCAAAGCUGAGUUUGUUAAACUUACCUGCAGCAAGGGAAAACACCACCUUGAUAGGGUUUAAUAAUGUUUCAAAAUCAAGAAAGGCUUUGGGGUCUGGGCAGGGAACUAAUUAGAAAUGGGCAAAAUUUGUCAUGCAAUACUUUAAGAUUGGUGGGAAAGUGAGAUGAGGUUCUUAAUGUGAGGAUUGAUGGUCAAAUCAUUUUCUAGGUGAGCUGUUUGCCUGUAGAAAGAUGUUAUCAAUAAUAGAAGAACUAUUUGCCUAGAUAAGCAAACUGAAUUUAUUUAUUGGUUUACAGUUUUAUCUUGCUGGGCAGGACUCUGCUGGGGGUGGUAUCAGGUCUUAUUCCCAAUAGUGAGAAACCUACCUUUCAUUAUCUACAAUAUGUUUUGUUAUUUCUUCAGUGCGGUAUGUGCUUAAAGUAAUUUCAGAAUUUCUAAAUUAUACCCGUUUAAAAAUGAAAUCACUAACUACAGCACGGUAUUUAAAUAUAGUUCUUUUUUCUUUAUCCUUAACAGUGUUCGGUCAACAUACUGUUUCUAAACGUAUUUAGGUUAGUUAUCUUUUUUUCCUAUCCCCUGCAGUAUGGUUACAUUAAUCAUAUAAUCAGUCUGGUUUUUUUUUUUUUUUUUUACUGUUUAUGUUCCAUUUUGAGUUCCCUCACCUUUUGGAUUAAUUUAACUAUAUUUUGUAUAUGUGAAAUAUUACUGUGGUUCUAAAAAUUAGGAUUGUGAGAAAUAUCACUCCACCAUCAUCCCUGCUACAAUGAUUCUAUUCCUCCCUUCUUUCCACCCCAAUCUCACCCAACCCCUAGAGUUAACUAGUCUAAUAGUUUCUGAUUUAUUUUUUCUCUUUUUUUUCUUGAUCACAAGUGGGCAGAUACAUAUAUAUUUUAUUAUAUCCCCUUCCUUCUUACAUGAUUGGUGGCAUACUAUAGAUUUUUUUUGCAAUUUUCUUUUUCCACUUAAUAUGUCGUGGAAAUCACUUCAUGUGUAUUCAAAGAUAUAUUCCUCAUUCUUUUAUGCUUGGUAUGGUUAACUCUGGAUGCACCACAAUUUAUUCAACCCCUCAGCUCUAUGAAAAUUGUUUGCAAUAUGUGUAAAGUAUCAUACUACAAAUAGUUUUACAUUGGAUUGUUUAUUCCCUCUUCAUUUGGAAGCGUUCUUUGUAUUACUGGGACAUACAUUUCUUGUUCAAUAUAUGUGUUGCAAAGGUUUCUUUCAUUAAGUAUCUUAGCCUGCCUGCCUUUCUUUCCAUUUCCCUUCUUUUUCUUUUCUUUCUUCUCCUUUUAAUGCUAUUAUGCUCUAAAUUUUAAAAUGGCCCAAAUUUGCCAGUGGCUCAUCCCUUAUUGCUAUUUAUUCUCCCUUUCCUUUUGUCCCUCACUUCUUUUCCUUUAAUUUAGGUGAAAUUAACAUAACGUAGCCAUUUAGUGCAUUCAAAAUGUUUUGCAACUGCCAUCCUUAACUAGUUGCAAAACAUUUUCAGCACCCCAAAGACAACUCAUACCCAUUAAGCAAUCAGUUCCAACUCUCCCUAUCUUUUCAUUUUUGUUUUUUGGAGUUUUUUUGAGACAAGGUCUCACUUUGCACCCAGUCUGGAGUGCAGCGGCACAAUCAUAGCUCACUGCAGCC